CUUCAUUCCUUUUCACAUUUUGGCACAUGCCGAUCCAGUUCUGAAAUCGUGUGUAUCCGCGCCCGUGAAGCCUGAUGUAUUGGCUAAAAUCGUUCAAAAAUCGUAGAAAAUUGUGCUAAAUUGUGCUCCGUUUACGCCAGCCCGUGUACCGUGUGUCGGUUCGUGAAAACGUAGAAAGAGGUCACCAGUCGCGUGAAAAAAGGGAUUAAAUCCGUGAAAAGCCCGUCGCCAGAGAAGGUUCCGCAGGGGAGCAAGUGCAGUGUGAAGCAGUCCAGGAAGCAGAACCAGCAAGAUGUCGUUCGAGGAAACAUCCGCCGAUCGCAAUGUGGAGAUCUGGAAGAUCAAGAAACUCAUUAAGAGUUUGGAAAUGGCUCGAGGCAAUGGCACGAGCAUGAUCUCGCUGAUCAUCCCACCGAAGGAUCAGAUCAGCCGAGUAAGCAAGAUGUUGGCCGACGAGUUCGGUACCGCUUCCAACAUCAAAUCCCGCGUCAACCGACUCUCCGUACUGGGUGCCAUUACCUCGGUCCAGCACCGGCUCAAACUAUACACCAAAGUGCCUCCGAAUGGACUCGUGAUCUACUGCGGUACGAUCGUCACCGAAGAGGGCAAGGAAAAGAAGGUCAACAUUGACUUUGAACCGUUCAAACCGAUUAAUACCUCUCUAUACUUAUGCGAUAAUAAGUUUCACACCGAAGCACUGACGGCUCUGCUGGCGGACGACAAUAAGUUUGGUUUCAUUGUGAUGGACGGUAACGGUGCACUGUUCGGUACGCUUCAGGGCAACACGCGUGAAGUGCUGCACAAAUUCACGGUCGACCUGCCGAAGAAGCACGGUCGUGGUGGUCAGUCCGCGCUGCGUUUCGCCCGUCUCCGUAUGGAGAAGCGACACAAUUACGUCCGAAAGGUAGCAGAGGUGGCCACCCAGCUGUUCAUCACCAACGACAAGCCAAACAUUGCCGGACUGAUCCUGGCCGGUAGUGCCGAUUUCAAAACGGAACUCAGCCAGUCAGACAUGUUCGAUCCGCGAUUGCAAUCGAAAAUCAUCAAACUGGUGGACGUUUCGUACGGCGGUGAGAACGGUUUUAAUCAAGCCAUCGAGCUGGCAGCCGAAUCGCUGCAGAACGUGAAAUUUAUCCAGGAAAAGAAACUGAUUGGUCGAUACUUCGACGAAAUUUCACAGGAUACCGGCAAAUACUGCUUCGGUGUCGAGGACACGCUGAAGGCGCUGGAACUGGGCUCAGUGGAAACGCUGAUCUGCUGGGAGAACUUGGACAUUCAACGUUAUGUGCUGAAGAACCACGUCAGUGCGACGUCCACCACAGUAUUGCAUCUGACUCCGGAGCAGGAAAAAGACAAGUCUCACUUCACCGACAAGGAGAGUGGCGUGGAGAUGGAAUUGGUUGAAUCUCAGCCACUGCUGGAAUGGCUCGCAAACAACUACAAGAGUUUUGGUGCUACUUUGGAAAUUAUCACUGACAAGUCCCAGGAAGGUAGCCAGUUCGUGCGAGGUUUCGGUGGAAUAGGAGGAAUCUUACGCUACAAGGUGGACUUCCAGUCUCUGCAGGCUGACGAGCCGCUGGACGACGUUGACCUUGACGAUUACUAAAUCAAUUACUUUUAAAACCGAAUCCAAACAACCAGUAUCCAUGGGACUGCGCGUACUCUGUGACCGAAUCGUAGCGGAACAGACACGGACACAUACACACGUAUAAGAACACACUUACAGCGGAGAAAUUUCUCUACUCUCUUUGAAGUUCUGAUCAAAAGAAUAGAAAUCAGACUAACGAACACGUUCAAGCCGAGUUUUUUUUUGCGAAACAAUAGAUUCAGAGUUCUAGAGAAUAACAAAUUGUAAAAAAACAACAGCGAAACAGAAACCGCAGAAUUUUGAACCGCAUGUCAAAACACUCCAAAAAGAGGCAAAAUACGAAAACACAAAACAAGUAAAGUAGACAUACAAACACACACUGACACACAAACAUAUAAACCAAACAGUAAAAUAGUUAAUAUAAUCAGCAAAAAAAAAUAUAAUCGGUCAACUGGUAAAAAACGGGGUGUGGCUCAAGUGGUAAAAGGUCACACACUCCCGAAACAUAAAAUCGGUUCCGAGCCCGAGCAUGAGCGUGUACUUAUAGUAGUUAAAAGAACGAAACUAGAAGCCAUAUUUAUAUAAAUAUUGAUGGGCAUCCUUUCGGAACAAGGGGAGACGUGGAUGGGCUUACACGAGUUUGGUUGAAAUUGAUCAACGCCUGAACUGAAUCAGGGUUUGAAUCACAAGUUGGAUUUUGCUUUUGCGAUUAAUAUUUGUGACGUUCCAGACGUCUCACUCUUCGUAAGUGUAAGUGUAACGAAUUGUGUCGAAAUCUACUUUUUGUGAUGCUUCUGAUAUAAUAUUUGUGAAAGCUUCUCGCAAAACAAAAUUAACCUUCUAGUCACUAAGUAGUUUUUAUAACAAAAAAAAAAAAAAUCUCAAUUCAAUACCAUAUUGUAUGUUAUAAUGUGGAACUCACAGUUUUGACAAAAAGGAUUUCAGAAAGUGUCCCGGGAGUGGCCGGAAAUGUUAGUUUUCGUUUCUUAAACUCUGACCUCUAAUUGAGAAGAUUUUAUUUAUUCAAAAAAAUUCUCAUAAACAAUUGGAAGAAAUGUUUUUACUCCGUUAGCACACAGCGCAAGGUAUUUCGAAAAGUUUUGAAAACUAAAGUUCUGACUAGAACUUUGUGAAAAGGCAAGGAUGAAGUUUCAACAAAUAAGCAAUACUCAAAGUCGAAAGCUUCCUUUGCUCCCACUUCCACAGGAUGCCCGGUUUUUAUGAUGAUAUAUCAUUGAGUGGAAAAAUAAAACAACUGUAUAAUAACAAUUAAUGCCCUUAAAAAUCAAAACAAAUCGAAAUGAAUCACGAUUACCCCGGAACUAGGAUGCAGCAGAAUUGAAUUAAAAUUAUCGCGAUUUACCUACCCUUCCUAUCAAAUAGAACAUCCGUACGCGCUGAACAAUAAAUCAAAAAACUAAGAAGAAAAGAAAACCAAAGUAAUGUUUAAAAGUUCGUCUAUCAUUUAAUCCUACUCUUGCCAACUUCGGAAGCAUUAGUUCAGAAAAUGUAAAAAACGGUAUCAUAAGCUACAACAGUAGAGACUCUGUGUCGGAUAUUUUCCCAAAUGUUGACAUUCGAACCUCGUCGCGAAUUUUAAAUGUGUUCCUUAGAUUAGUUUGGCCAACUUUUAGUAAAGAAAAAAAUACAGAAUAUCUAGAACAGAGCCGCAGGAGACGCGAUUGGCGUUCAUCGUGGGAGAAGUGGUCAGCAGAAAUUGUCCUACUGAUUGUGGAUUCAUCGGAAGUAGCCGUAAACUUCUGGAAGAUUUGAGCGCUAGGUAUGACACGCGUGACAAUACACUCAAUUACGUAGACCGACACUUUCGUAGACCGAAAUAAAAGAACGGAGACCACACGCUACUCUUGGGGUUGUUUCAACAGCUCCGGGUAUUCACCAGGGAGGCAGGGCACAUUUGCACGCACAUUAUCACCGAUGGGUUAAUGUAGAAAGAAGGUAUUUUGCGCUACAAGGUAGAUUUCCAAAGCAUGCAACUAGAUGAAUUGGACAACGAUGGUUUCGAUUUAGAAGAUUAUUAAAUUUUUUAUGUUUAUGAAGAUAUCAGUUAUACAAACACACAGGUUAGAAAAUAUACAAAAGGAAAAUAAGAGACACUGCGCAGUGGAAACACACACAAAAAAAUCGCCUGUUUUUUUUUUCAUUUGUUUGCAUGAUUAGAGAGGAGAGAAACCAUCAUUUGGGAAAUCAAAGUCGGAACAUCUGCGAAGCCGUGACUUUCCUCGUAGUGUUACUGAUUACCAGAAGGCUCAGCAUUCGUUUUGAACUCGUCGCGCGGAAUCCUGCUCAAACCCCAAUCCAAGAACAUUGCCUUCCGCCGCGCGCCGACGAUAUUGAUAGGAAUUCGUCUAUAGUGUAGACGUAUUAUACCUACUGCUGCUAACCUAGACAAAACAGCACUAGAGUUUUUUUUUUCAAUAUUUUGCCAAUUGUGCAACAAUACCGCGUUUUGUUCGGUUUGUCGUCGUACAGUUUUAGAGACAGCGUAGUGUAGUGAAGAUCUUAGUCCUUCCUGGGAUUUUUUUUUAUUUCAUUAGGAACGCACUGACAUUCGUGAUCUUCGUUCACAUUGUGUGUAGACUGUUCGCUGGAUGGUGUAACUAGAAAAACAAAUCCGUUGAUUUUCAAAAGACUUUGCACGUUGAAAAUACAUAAUUACUGAGCCGGACAGCUCAGUAAAAUUAUAUCACAUUGGUAAAAUUUUACCGAAGUUUGGAAACUUGACCGAAGUAUUUAUUUGCCGACAUCCUCACACAAGAUUCGGUAAUUCUAAUAGUUUGUACACAUCAUCCAGUGGCGUUAAAGUAGAGUGUUUACGUUAUCUGCCACUCACUCGCGUGAACAACCUACACAAACACAUCUACUUAUAGCUCCGUUUUUGUGAAGUUGAGACUUUUUUCAAGAGAGGUAGUGCUUUAGAAGCAAGAAACACAUCGCCACACGCAAGCCACGUGGUACGCCACGCGUGUACUGCAGCAGCCGAGAUCGUUCAAGUUUAACACACUCCUAGUAUACUAUACUUACGAUAGACUUUCGUUUGGCGGUCUUUUAACGUCGUUCUAAUUGCUCUUAUUCCUAUUUACUACUUUACACUCUAUUACCACUAUUCGGAAAUAACAGAAGCAGACGAGCAACAUUCACACUCAACACACUAUUGAUAAACUGCGAAAAACAGAAACAGGAGUAUAAACUGAAACGACUCGCAGAAAAAAAAAAGAAAAAAGAGAAGUAAGGAAACAUCAACACCCGAGAAACCAAUACAUAAACACACACACACGUUCACUUUGUAUUAGUUAAAGAAAAGGGAAAACAAAACCAGUAACCGCUACAAAAUUUUGAAUUCAUCUGACAAAAGAAAGAUCCAGAGAAAACCAGAAAAUUGUUAUUAUAUAUUAUAAAACAAAUAUUAUAAAAUGAUAUAUUGCAUAAAAAGAAGAUAUUUAUAUAAAAAGGAAAUGAAAAACAACGGAAGCAAAACUGGCGAA